GAUGAAGAACGUAGCGAAAUGCGAUAAGUAGUGUGAAUUGCAGAAUUCAGUGAAUCAUCGAAUCUUUGAACGCACAUUGCGCCCCUUGGUAUUCCAUGGGGCAUGCCUGUUCGAGCGUCAUUUGUACCUUCAAGCUUUGCUUGGUGUUGGGUGUUUGUCCUGAGGGACUCGCCUUAAAGUAAUUGGCAGCCAGUGUUUGGUUUUGAAGCGCAGCACAAGUCGCGAUUCAAAGCUAUACGCCCGCUUCCACAAGCCUUUUUCACUUUUGACCUCGGAUCAGGUAGGGAUACCCGCUGAACUUAAGCAUAUCAAUGCGGAGGA
rnacentral:misc_RNA from 1 species